rnacentral:rRNA from 1 species
GACGAACGCUGGCGGCGCGCCUAACACAUGCAAGUCGAACGAGCGAGAGAGAGUUUACUUUUUCGAGCGAGUGGCGAACGGGUGAGUAACGCGUGAGGAACCUGCCUCAAAGAGGGGGACAACAGUUGGAAACGACUGCUAAUACCGCAUAAGCCCACGGCUCGGCAUCGAGCAGAGGGAAAAGGAGCAAUCCGCUUUGAGAUGGCCUCGCGUCCGAUUAGCUAGUUGGUGAGGUAACGGCCCACCAAGGCGACGAUCGGUAGCCGGACUGAGAGGUUGAACGGCCACAUUGGGACUGAGACACGGCCCAGACUCCUACGGGAGGCAGCAGUGGGGAAUAUUGCACAAUGGGGGGAAACCCUGAUGCAGCGACGCCGCGUGGAGGAAGAAGGUCUUCGGAUUGUAAACUCCUGUUGUUGAGGAAGAUAAUGACGGUACUCAACAAGGAAGUGACGGCUAACUACGUG